GGUGUGAUCUCUAGUAGGCACUGCAGAUGACAUAAGGAUUGCGAGGCAUUCGCAUUGUCGUUGUAGGGCCGCCACCCACCGUUGUGCACCGAAUCCCAUCCCAGCACGGAUCAACGGGCGGUAUAGCUCGUGAACAAUGCCUUCAUCAUAUUCUGCAUGUUCCACCCAUGUAACCUAAAUAGCCAUUCGGCAUAUCUUGAACAACACAACCCGAUGGUAGCCUUCGACAACUCAUAA
rnacentral:lncRNA from 1 species